CGCGGUGCUCCGGGCCACGCCAAUACGGGACUGCCCCGCCCCGCCCGGUGCAUUGUGGAGCUUAGAGGCCCCGCCCGGCGCCGAGUCUCGCGAGAGAACGAGAAUCACGAGGACCACGGAAUCGCAGGCCGGGAGAACCCGCUUCCUCCCCUCUGACCGGAGUCCCGCCCCCGCGCCGGAUGGGCCAAUCACUACUCUUCCCCUUUCCGGUUGCGGGGAUUGGUCCGACGGAGCACGUGACCAGGUCCCGGGCCUUUUACCCCAACACAGGUGCGGAGCGGCGAAGACCUUGGGGACCGUGCGGGAACGCGGUCCCCUGCAAACACGUUCUGCUGCCUGCCAAGAGGGCUCUUGUGCCUCGUAUGGUCCCAUCAAUGACUGGGGUCAGGUUCCUCUUUCCCCGUCUUGCAGUGGCACAAGGCAGCCCUGAGGGCUCCGAAGUGGCUGUGAGGCCAUGGUCCUGGAAGGAUUUGCCUGAAGCCACAGACUCCGCCGCCUGGGCUAUAACCCUCCUUGGCCCAUAAACCGUAACCACCCGUCCAUGAAGCUCUUGAACCUUGAGAGGUGAGGGUGGGCAUCCAAACCCUGAUGACAUCCCUACUCGCUGCUUCCUGCCCAAGAUGGUGACCCUAGAAGAUGUUGCCUGUGCCUCCUGGGCUCCCCUCCCUACAGCCACAGAGCUGCUGGUCCCUUAAGUUCCUUGCACCGGACACAAGAGAGUCUCAGGGCAGGGCCAGCAAAAGAGGAGAAGCAGAGGGUGAGGAACCAGGAAGCCAUAAAUGGAAGAAGGGAGAUGAGAAAUGCAAAGGCCUGAAGAGAAAUGACUGUCCACUUGUAAAAAGGCAAAAAUCUUUGUCUUCAUAGAAUUUAACUCCUAGUGUCUAGAGAUAAGGAACAAAAACCAUACUAUGGGGCUGGGGAUAUAGCUUAGUGGUAGAGUGUUUGACUAGCAUGGGCAAAACCCUAGGUUCCUGUGGAGAGCCACUCCAAAUGCACACACCUUUAACUCCUGCUGCACCACGGGAUCUGAAAAAUCACUGUGGUCUGGCACAGUAGUGCCAUGACUUGUGACUCUGGCGACAGCACCCAGAGGGGUUGAGCUACACUCACCUGUUCCCUUGUUCCUACCCCUUGCCUCAUUUGACUGGCUUUUUCCCAAUAAAGGGGUUCAGCACGUGCUUCUCCCUCUCUUUCCAUGGACCCUUAAGGUCAUAGGAGCCGUCACAGGACCCAAAGAAAAAGAUAUUUCUGUUUCUGGUUAUUUCGUGCAGCCCAGUUCACCUGGAGUGACUUGAGUGUUUAGUCGUGCAAUGCGACAGGUCCCAUCCCCAGCAAAGCACACAUCAUACUGUCAGAAGUUCCUGCUGCAGGAGAAAAAAUAAAGCUAGGGAGUCGGGUAGGAAUGGUCCAAGAAGUGGGAGGAUAUUUGCAAAAGGAGCAGAGAAGGCCUAAGGUGACUUUGAAGGAAGUGAGGGAAGAGACUUACAGACAGAGGGCACAGUGUGCUGAGGAUCCUGUAAAAGGAGCCGUCCUGCAGUGGAAUGAACAUGGUUUGAGUAGUAGGAGAUGGUUGGAGAGGAAGUAGGUGGCCACAGGGAGACUCAGCAACAAGAGACCACUGCAGGGUUCUCAGCCUGGCUGCCCUGCCCUGCCCUGCCAGCUAACAGGCACUCUCUGGCUAUUGAGAAUGAACUCUAGGAAGCCCCCCCAGGAGCUGUGAGGCUGGCAAGAAGGCUACCGAGAUCUUCUGUUGAAGAGGUGGGGGUGGCUCAGACACCCGGGUAGCAGUGAAGAAGAGAAGGGACACUCAUUUUGGAUGUACUCUGAAGGUAGCAUCUGGUGGAUGUAAGGUCCAACUGGAAGCCUUUCUUCCUCUUCAUAAAGGUCCCUCCACUUCAUUUCUGCUUCAGGCAUCUAGUUCAGAGGGACAGAAGCUCAGUUCCAGUCUAUCCAGGUCCCCUCUUCAUUUCUAGUGGCUGUGGCUGUCAAAUUGUGGGAGGUGGGGAAUCAGUCCCCUGGGAGCCUACCCACCAACACUGGCAUCUGUAGAGCCACCUCAGUCCCUCAAGUCCUGCUCCACCUGCAGCUUCCCCUUUGCUGGCUCUGCAGCCCCCUUUGCAUCUUAGGAACUAUUCAUCUGCUCUGCAACUGCCAGGUGGUCUUGGGCCUCCUGCCCAGACAGCCCUGGGAAGCCUCUGCUAUUUCCCUGAGCAGGACACAACCCAGAAGGGUUUUUAAAUGGAUGCAACUGGAGACUAUCAUGCUAAGUGAAAUAAGCCAAUCCUGAAAAAAAAAAAAAAAAAAUCCCAAAUAUUCUCUCUGACAUGCUGAUGCUAACACACAAUAGGAGGUGGGGAGGGAGGAGUGGAGGUUCACCAGAUUAGACAGUGGAGAAAAUGAAAAAAAAAUAGUAGAAUGAAUUGGACAUAAUUUUCCUAUGUUAAUACAUGAGUAUAUAACCAGUGUAACUCCACAUCAUGUACAACCACAAUAAUGGGAAAUCAUAUGUCAAAAUACAUUCUACUGUCAU
ensembl:lincRNA